UACGUAGGGUGCGAGCGUUGUCCGGAAUUAUUGGGCGUAAAGAGCUCGUAGGCGGUUUGUCGCGUCGACUGUGAAAACUGGGGGCUUAACUCUCAGCUUGCAGUUGAUACGGGCAGACUUGAGUUCGGUAGGGGAGACUGGAAUUCCUGGUGUAGCGGUGAAAUGCGCAGAUAUCAGGAGGAACACCCGUGGCGAAAGCGGCUCUCUGGGACGGUACUGACGCUGAGACGCGAAAGCGUGGGGAGCAAACAGG
rnacentral:rRNA from 1 species